AGACCUGGUGGUGCGUGCUGCCGAGCUUUGUCCAGUCUCCUCUGUCCUGACUCACUGCUGUUGGCUCCUGCUGAGGAACAAGUCGAUCAGGAAGCCUCAGCUGUGGCAUUUAAAGGUACCGGAAAGACACCUGUGGAGCCGGAAGUGGCGAUUCACCAAAUUCAAUCACGCUCACCAGUCGAUAUGUGAAGUCGCUGGAGAAGGUUUGAGCAGAGGCACAAAGGAGAAGAAUCUGAAAGUGAAAAGACCGGUGUGCAUGCCUACCAAGACACUGAGAAUCACUACCAGAAAAACACCUUGUGGUGAAGGUUCCAAGACCUGGGAUCGUUUCUAGAUGAUAAUUCACAAGCGACUCAUUGAUUUACACAGUCCUUCUGAGAUUGUUAAACAGAUUAUUUCCAUCAGUAUUGACCCAGGAGUGAAGGUUGAAGUCACCAUUGCAGAUGCCUAAGUCAACUGUUUAAAUAAAUUGACUUGUUUAGAAAAAAAA
rnacentral:lncRNA from 1 species